CUGCCGCAGGUCUGCGCGGGGAGGACGAGGCCGGGCCCCACCGAGCGCGCGAGGAGCCGCUGCUGCCCGGGCCGCCUGGGUGAGCGGUAUCCCCGCGAUGCCCAUGAGGAAACUGAGGCACACAGAAAUGAAGCACCUUCCUUGAAGUUACACAGCUUCAUUAACAGAAGCUUUGUGAGAAGAGUAAGGACUGAGGUAUGCCAUCUUACAGUGUGGACCAGACUUUCAGAAAGGUCAAAGCAUUAAGAUUGCACUCUGAAUAGCCCCGUGUCUCCAGCACCCAGAGCCUUGUGUUAAAUCAUCAUUUCCCAUCAGGAAUCCCAGCAUGUGAACUGGACAUGGUCCUUCAGUUAGAGAGAGAACAGCUGUGAUAGCUGAAUCUUCAGGAAACCAAAGAGGGCAGUGAGUGAAACUACCUGUUUGGGCGGCACAUUGGCCCCAGGCAAAGCGAGAGGUCCCUGGAGAAUUAGCCAGGUGGAAGGAGGCCUGGACUCAUGGCACCUGGGGGACUGAUUGGCCUUGCCGCCCAGAGCUCUGGGCCUGCACUUACCCUCCAGUGUGUGCUGCAAGCUCCUGCAGGCUGAGAUCACGUCAACCUCAAGCUCCACGGUGCCUGGGCCCCCAGUCUGAGGUUGUAGUAUGUGGUUGUUCGGUAAAUGAGCCAGGGGCUCCUGGAGAUAGAUGGCCUCGGGGACACCAUGACCAAGCCUCAUUCCAUCACGUGGCCCCUGCAGCCCCUCUGUGUGCAUUCUUUACCAGCAAGAGGCUGCUCUCUGUGAACUGCACAGGAUGGAGGAAGAAAGAGCUUAGAGUCUUAUCCCCCCACCGGGUCUCCUUGAAUAAGCUGAACACUACCACCACCCUCCACCAAGAUGAGUUACAUCCGAAACCCUGGCACCCAGUAACCAGUGGCACAAGGACGGGAGUCUCCCAUUCCACACGGCCUCUAGUGUUUUCCAUUGUGGGAUCUCCUCUGGAAAUGAGAAGACCCUUCACACAAGUCCAGAAACUUCAUUGCUGUGGGAGGGCCUUGCCCUGUAUCCUGAGAUCUCUCCUCUCUGCUGGUUUCCACAUCUCUACAGUGGGAGCACUGUAAUUCCUCCAUAAUGGAAGCCUUGAGAAAUUAAUACCAAGAUGACAUUCCUUUACAGUGAUUUCAACUUACAACGGAGAAAGGUCCUGAGAUUUGAAAUAGCUGCCUUACUUCCUGAAUUUGAUCUGUUUCUGUCUGGCACCUUCAGUUAAGGAAGGGACAAGAUUCCAGCGUAGGUUGCUAGCAUUUAGAUAAGCCAAAGACUGCACUGAUUAUUUUCACUUGAGAAAAUCUGCAGCACCCCCUCCUCCAAACCUCCUCUGUAGAAGAGUCUCGAACGUUUCUGUACUACCUUCUGUUCUCAAAGAUCUCCAUUCUCAAGGCCAGGCUGGGAAAUUGUCAGUUGCUCUGAAAAGAGCUGCCUGAUAAUUAGACUAGAUUGCGAAGGAAACAUAGGGGCCUUUCUCUUCCGUGCUUGGCCCAUACAGAUUUCUGGCUUGCAUGCUAUCCUGACCAGGUUGGCCACCACUGGCCAUACAGGCUGUGGGCUGCACACUGCCAGGGGCAUCGUUAGCCCUGUCAUCUGCAUUUGGUAAGCAAAUAAAAUGACCUUUAAAAAGCUGUUGAAUUUCUGUACUUCAGUGAGGAAAUAAAUUAAUCCUACCUCCCAGAGCUUGUGAGAACCCAACUUACAAAACAAGAUGGUAGUCAAAAUUAUGUGUACAACAGCUAAUCUCUGAGGCUCCUGGGAGGAGCCACAUGACACAGCUAUCAACUAAAGGAGUGGAUAAUGAAAUCUAUUCCAGUUCUUUCCAGGUGCAUAUUAGGAGUUCAAAAAACAUACUAAAGCCUGGCCCCUACCCCCUGACCAAUUUAAUUACGUCUUCAAGGGUGGGGCCUUGGCAACAGAAUUUUAUAAAGUUCUUGAAGUGAUUCCACUAUUCAGUGAAAGUUAAAUAACACUGGUUUAGCUAUGGAAGGGGAUCUUUGUGAUGAACUUCUAGAAUGUUAAAACGUGCUAAGAAGAGAUAGUUAACAGGAAGGUUUAAUACUUGCCCUGAAGUGAACUAUUAUAUUACUGAUAAAUUAUUAAGAAUUUUUUACAAUUAUUUUUAUUAAGAACCAGUAAAUCAACUUAAAUGCAUCAGAACAGGAGCAUAAUAGAUCCUCAGUCUAGUUACUGAAGCACAAAUGCUUUCUAUUAGCAAAACAUGCAUAAAUACACACACUCUAGAUGCAACAUAGGAAAAUGCUGAUGUAUAGUAACCCUGAUCAAGAAUAUAUUGUGAAUAUUCAAAACUGGAAUAUAAAACUCCAAACCACUUCUGAAACCAUCUACUCCAAACCCCUCAUUCACAGAGCAAACUGAACCUUAAAACGGUUGAAUUUUCCAAUGUCACAAAGUUGCUUAAAAACAUAAUCGGAUUACUUCAGCCUGAUGUCCUUUCCAUUCUAUUGUGUGACAGUGUGUGACAGUGAAAAGUUAAAAUAUUUUAAGCACUUUCUCAAUUCCUCUGGUUCUUCAGUACUUAACAAAAGGACAAACCAGACUUCCUCAAAGAGUCAUAUGCCAGGGUGCAGUCUCUGAUGUUUGUUGAGAGCAGACCGGUAUCUGAACGCUUUUCCACAAUCAUUACAGCCAAAAGGUUUCUCUCCUGAAUGGAUUCUCUGAUGCUGAAUGAGGUAUGUGCUCUGGCUGAAAGUCUUCCUGCAUUCAUUACAGUUGUAAGGUUUCUCCCCCGUGUGAGUGUUCUGAUGUUCAGUCAGAUGUGUGCUCCGGCUGAAAGCUUUGUCACAUUCGUUACACUUAUAGGGCUUCUCUCCAGUGUGAAUUCGUUGAUGCUGUGUCAGAUGAGAGCUCUGGCUGAAAGCCUUUUCGCAUUUAUUACACUGGUAGGGUUUCUCUUCUGUGUGAGUUUUUUGAUGUUGAGCAAGAGAUGAACAGUGCCGGAAGGCUUUGCCACACUCGGCACACUCGUAAGGCUUUGCUCCUGUGUGGAUUCUCUUAUGUUGUGUGAGGUGUAUGUUUUGGUUGAAGGCUCUCCCACAUUCAUUACACUUGUAAGGUCGCUCUCCAGUGUGUAUUUUCCUAUGCUGAAUAAGGGAGGAGCCAUAACUGAAGGUUUUCCCACACUCAUGACACUGAUAGGGCUUCUCACCUGUAUGAAUUCUCUCAUGUUUAGCCAGAGAUGAACUCCGAAUAAAGGCUUUUCCACACUCCUUACAUUCAUAGGCUUUCUCCUGGGUAUGCGUCUUCUGAUGCUGAUUAAGGUUGGAGAGGUAACUGAAAGCCUUCCCACAUUCACUGCACUCGAAGGGCUUUUCUCUGGUGUGGAUUCUCCGAUGCUGAGUAAGGGAGGAGCAGUAACUGAAGGCCUUUCCACAUUCAUUGCAUUUGUAAGGUUUUUCUCCAGUAUGAAUUUUCAGAUGUUGAGCAAGGGAUGACCAGUAACUGAAGGAUUUUCCACAUUCGGCACAGUCAUAUGGUUUCUCCCCCGUGUGUGUUUUCUGAUGUUGAGUGAGGUUUGAGUGCUGGCUGAAGGCUUUCCCACACUCGUUGCACUCAUAUGGUUUCUCACCCGUGUGGAUCAUGUGAUGACGGAUAAAUGUUGAGGGACCAUUGAAGGCCUUUCCACAUUCAUUACAUUUAUAGGUCUUCUCCCCGGUAUGAAUUUUCUGAUGCUGAGUAAGAUGUGUGCUCCUGGUAAAGGUUUUAUCACAUUCAUCACAUUUAAAAGGCUUUUCUCCUGUAUGAAUUUUCUGAUGUUCCAUAAAAUGGCCUCUCUGGCUAAAGGCUUUUCCACACUCGUUGCAAGUAUAUGGUUUCUCACCCGUAUGAAUUCUCUGAUGCUGAACAAGAUGGGUCCUCUGACUAAAGGCUUUCCCACAUUCAUCACAUUUAUAGGGUUUUUCUCCAGUGUGAAUUCUUUGAUGUUGAGUAAGAGAUGGACCCUCAAUGAAGCCUUUCCCACACUGAUCGCACUUAUAUGGUUUAUCUCCAGUAUGAAUUCUUUGAUGGUUUA